CCAUGUAUGGCCACCUUUAUGUUUACAAUUCAUACGAUUAAUUAUUUAAAUGUAUAUAUAUUGUUAUGUUGCCACCAAGCGACCAAAGUGAUAUGACAGGGUGUUUAUUUCCUUGUCUGUAAACCCUCCUAUUCCAUGUCUGCGUGUGUGAUGUAAGUUCCUCCCAUUUUUCCUUUCCUGUUCCUGCUCCUGCUUUCCAUGUCUGAUGAGCUGCUGCAGAUCUUAGGGAGGAAAAUAUUCCUUUUGACCACCACGUUUCUCCAUCCACUCUGUAAAAGAGAACCUUUGUGCAUUCCAAGUGUCUGCAGGAGAACAACUUGCAGGCAUAUGAUCUUCUAACUUCUUUGAAAAUUCUAAUCACGUGAGAUUUCAGUUCGGAAAGCUUGUUGGAAGGAGCCAAGAUGACCCGAAGCACGGGAAUGAGCCAAACAAGUGCACCGGAAAGAUCCAAAGCCAACCACACAUCGGAAAGAGCUGAGAAGACCUGAAGAGAAGAUUUCCGGAAGAAGCUGGGCAGAUCCGAAGAUCGGGACACCGCAGGACAUCUCUGCAGCUAUCUGGGACAACGGGACAGGCAUCAAAAAUCGGGACUGUCCCACGUAAUGCAGGACAGUUGGAAGCAGCAGCAGCACAUGGACCCCAGGCCAGUCCCUCUCCUUUUUGCUUCCAAGAUUUCUGAUGGAAGCCAAAGUGAUCAUGUAACAAAUACUUUAUACUUUUUCUUCAUCAUACUUGUUAUAAGCAAUUAAGGAAGAGGAGCACAUUAUUAAUGAUUACAGAAACGGCGAAAAGGCGACCAUUAAUCCAGCGGUGCUCGAUUUCUCCUCCCUGGCUGUAUUCUGCAUUGAAGAGAGAAGAGGAUGGAGCGUGAUGGGGCCGCUGUUCUUCUGCAAAUAAUCCUCACAGCAUUGGCAGUAACAGCGAUACAUGGAAAGUGUAUUUUCUAUGCCAGAUAUGAUGGGCAAUGCUGUGCUCUUUGUCACUAUGUCACUACAACCUAGUACGGAAAUUUGAGUUGCGCUGUACCUAGCAUCUCGGCGGAACUGAGCGAGUCUGCGUUGAAGAGUGGGGCUGGGUCGCUCCGUGAAAUUCGGGGAUUGCCUGAGCGCGUGACCCUGACUUGUAAGAUAAUGUGUUGUCGCGCAAAGCCCCCCCCCCCACACGUUUGUAUGGGAGCUUCCGUGCCGGUAUUUAGAUCUGCCACCCUGCCAGCGUCUCCAGCCUGAGACCCGUGCGCUUCUCUAAUGGCGCCUGUCCCUAUGUGCCAGAGGGGGGUGUUCAUGAUAGUAAUGGAGCGCAGCAUUGGCCAUCAUAUCUGGCAUAGAAAAUACACUUUUCUAUCGCUGUAUCUGCGCUUGUCGCUGAGCGUGACGGGGCUGCUGUUCUUCUGCAAAUAAUCCUCACAGCAUUGGCAGUAACAGCGAUACAUGCACUUUCCAAAACCUGAGCUGAGCAGCCAACCCCCUGUCAGCCUGUGAUCUAUUCCCAGGGCGUAUCCUGCAGGCUUGAUCAUACUGCCUCUUGCCUCUGCUACACGCAGGACCCCAGCCUAUAGACCAAGAUUCAGGGUGGACACACUGUGUUUUGACCCCUCACUCUACCAUAUGCAAACUCUACACCUGGUACUGAGACCAGGUUGGCAUGCUGACUA